GACGAACGCUGGCGGCGUGCCUAAUACAUGCAAGUAGAACGCACAGUUUAUACCGUAGCUUGCUACACCAUAGACUGUGAGUUGCGAACGGGUGAGUAACGCGUAGGUAACCUGCCUGGUAGCGGGGGAUAACUAUUGGAAACGAUAGCUAAUACCGCAUAAUAUUAAUUAUUGCAUGAUAAUUAAUUGAAAGGUGCAAUUGCACCACUACCAGAUGGACCUGCGUUGUAUUAGCUAGUAGGGGAGGUAACGGCUCACCUAGGCGACGAUACAUAGCCGACCUGAGAGGGUGAUCGGCCACACUGGGACUGAGACACGGCCCAGACUCCUACGGGAGGCAGCAGUAGGGAAUCUUCGGCAAUGGACGAAAGUCUGACCGAGCAACGCCGCGUGAGUGAAGAAGGGUGUCGGAUCGUAAAGCUCUGUUGUAAGAGAAGAACGGGUGUGAGAGUGGAAAGUUCACACUGUGACGGUAUCUUACCAGAAAGGGACGGCUAACUACGUG
rnacentral:rRNA from 1 species